rnacentral:tRNA from 1 species
GCCAGUGUGGCUCAGUGGUUGAGCAUCGACCUCUGAACCAGAAGGUCAGGGUUCAAUUCCCGGCCAGGGCA